CUUUACAAACACAUCCAAGAUGUCAUUCACUUUACACUAGAUUUUGGACAUCAAAUUUUAUGAUUUGUUGAAAAAUGUUCACAGAAGAGGUACUAGGAUGAUACCAGAGAUGGAAAGCUUUCAGUAUCCGGAAUCCCGAGUUUCUUCCGGAAAUUCCUCGCUGCUUAUUCGACAUGACGUUGGACAAGGAGGAAUGAAUUCGUUAUUGUAAGGUUUGGAUUGGAUAUGUCUCAUUCACCAAGAAGGUUUUUCAAA